UACGUAGGGGGCGAGCGUUGUCCGGAAUCAUUGGGCGUAAAGCGCGUGUAGGCGGCCCGGUAAGUCCGCUGUGAAAGUCGGGGGCUCAACCCUCGAAUGCCGGUGGAUACUGUCGGGCUAGAGUGCGGGAGAGGCGAGUGGAAUUCCUGGUGUAGCGGUGAAAUGCGCAGAUAUCAGGAGGAACACCAAUUGCGAAGGCAGCUCGCUGGAACGUAACUGACGCUGAGACGCGAAAGCGUGGGGAGCAAACAGG
rnacentral:rRNA from 1 species